rnacentral:rRNA from 1 species
CUACGGGAUGCAGCAGGCGAGAAAACUUUGCAAUGUGCGAAAGCACGACAAGGUUAAUCCGAGUGGUUUCUGCUAAAGGAACCUUUUGUCAGUCCUAGAAACACUGAUGAAUAAGGGGUGGGCAAGUUCUGGUGUCAGCCGCCGCGGUAAAACCAGCACCUCAAGUGGUCAGGAUGAUUAUUGGGCCUAAAGCAUCCGUAGCCUGCUUUGUUAGUUUUCGGUUAAAUCUGUACGCUCAACGUACAGGCUGCCGGGAAUACUGCAAAGCUAGGGAGUGGGAGAGGUAGACGGUACUCGGUAGGAAGGGGUAAAAUCCUUUGAUCUAUUGAUGACCACCUGUGGCGAAGGCGGUCUACCAGAACACGUCCGACGGUGAGGGAUGAGAGCUGGGGGAGCAAACCGGAUUAGAUACCCCAGUAGUC